rnacentral:lncRNA from 1 species
AUCACCACGGUGACUUGCAAGCAACUCACUAUACUUUGGUGCUGGACUAUCUGAAUUUUUAAUUCAGGAUUGAAAGAUUUUUGGGCAUAGUCAAUUACUUAUGAAGUCGGUGCGUGAGUCAAGAUGGAAUUGACUACUCCAAGAGAUUGGAGAGAAUGCUUCAUGUUUCAAUUAGUAAGACCUUAGCCAGAGCAAUCUUUGUAAGGAGUCACAGGAUCUAUCAGAUUGAGAC